rnacentral:tRNA from 1 species
UGUGGUAGCUCAAAUGGUUAGAGCGUCAGUUUUGAGAACUGAAAGUUGCGGGUUCAACUCCCGCCCACACGA